UUCUUCAUUUUGCUUAUAUUUUUCUCUUUCUGUGAGUUUAGGGAAAUCAAGUACUGUGGUUUUGGAGGGCUGUUUACGUGCAAGAGUACCCCUGGGUAUUUUGUGAGGGCUUACUACUUAUUUUUGAUAUGAGCGUUUGGAUACUUGCUGUCUCUUUCCUCAGUGUGAGCAGGCUGUUAUCCCUUUGAUAGGUUGCUGCGUGUGCACUGGGGGAGAAGAAGGCCAUGGGCAUGGCUAGUAGUCAGUGCCUGGUUGCUGGGCCCUUGACUGUAGGAAGGACCCCCAGGAAGGUGGCACAUGCUGCUCCUAGUUGCAGGGCCCUGGGAAGUGGCAGUGAGCCUCAGGCACUUUUAGGCAGGGCCUGGAUCAUGUGGCAGUGGCAGCAGUAGGGUGUGUUCAUUCCCAGGUGAGUGAGAGCAAUAGCGGGUGGUACUUGGUUGCAUUGUGCUUACCUGUGCCAGCUUCUAAGGUGACUGGGGCCACAGGUGGUGCCUGCUCAUGGACACCUAGUGGUGAUGGGCCAUGGCCUCUAGAGUCAGAGAUAACUGUGGUGUUUUGCCCCCACUGCCUGUAGACCACACAAGAAGCACCCCAUCCCGCUUAGCCCACACAUGAGGUAUUGCCACGCAUAGCCGGUGCAAGAGGGGCCACCCUACCCUCUGAGAGCCCAUGCAUGUGCAGAGAAAGAUAUUUCUGUGGUGGUCCACCCCUACUCCUCUUGUGUUCCCUAACAAUGGCACCUUGCCUCUCCUGUGGGCCCAGACCUCCUCCUGGGCUCCCUUGGCUGUGGUGCUCCACUCCCUAGCUUCCUCAGGCUGUCUCCACAUUGGCAACCCUAGUCCUUUCCCUGGAACUGACCUCUAGAGCCUGAGUCUCAGCACCCAGCCCAAACCCGAGCAUCUCAAACCGUGGUGUCCUGGGGGGUGGUACUGAUGGUCUUUGUGGCUCUGUCUCUAUUUUGCCCUCUUCAGUCCAGUUGCUGCACUUUUCUCUGUGGCUUUGAGGUCCCUCCAUUUCAGCUGAUCUCCCUGUUAGUUAGGUGGCUUUCCGGGGUGUGGGCUCCUUUCCCCUUUCUCAGCCCUCUCAAGAGUGCUAGUCCCAUCCAGAUUCCUUCUCUCUCUCUCUUUUUCCCUUUUGUUCUACCCUGUUAUGUGGAGGGUUUCUUGCCCUUUUUGGAGGCUUAAGGUCUUCUGCCAGCAUUUAGUAGGUGUUCUGUGUGAAUUGCUUUAUGUGUAGAUUUUUAUUUUUUAUGUGUGUGGGUGAAGGCGAGAGCCACAUCUAACUUGUCUCUGCCGUCUUGAUUGGACCUGUGGACCUCCUGCCGUUUAAUGUAAUUGCAACAGAGAAAGUCAAGCUGUAGCUGAGUCCCAAAUCAUUAUAUUGUAACUGAGUCCCAAGUCAUUAUUUCCUUGCUCAUUGGCUGGAUCUGGAGAAUUGUCAAAUUUCUUCCAUAUUAUGAAAAAACUCGCCAUGGCCUCUAGCAAUAAAGCAGUGUCUUCUUUUCCAGGUUUUUGAGUGGGCAGGUUUUUAAACAAAACCAUUAACAUUUUUCACAAGAAUUAUUUUCUUUACCGUUUUUGUGUCUACCUUAUUAAUAAUUCAUUUAGACGCCAGCGAGGUUUGUCAGAAACAGCUUCACAGGACAGCACCCUUCCUGAAGAUGAGAGGUACUCAUCACACUCCCUUCCUCAGGUGGUGGUGACAAGGUCCUCUGCCUUAGUCAUCCUGAUGUCCCAACCAGGCUGCUUGUCUGCACCAGGAAGGCUGACCUGCAGUGGACCCAGGUGGAUUUCCUGGGAUUCACUAGUGUAUGAAAUCUAGCUUUUGUACUUCCCUUGAUAGCAUCACACCAGUUCAUGGUGCAUGAUAUAGAAAAGGUCAAAUUGAUCUCCUCUUUGGACUGUAUUGAAUAACUGUGUUGGUUUUGUUGACUCAGAAAAACUGAUUCCACACUUUUCCCCUUAGUCUCUCAUAAAAGCCUAGUGGUUUUACAACAGGAAGUCUUCACCAAGAAAAAGCAAAACCUGAAACACAGAUUAUGGAAUAAGAAAAGAAACAUCUCAAAAAAUUUUGACUCGCCUUCAUUUCUUUAAGGUUAUCAAUCUUUGGAAGGCCUAGAGUUGGGAGGAAAAUACAGAGAGGACAAAAAUUGCAGUAGGCAUGAGGUUUACAGGUCAUAUUCCUUUAAAGGUGCAUCUUCAAACAAAAUAGACUUGAGAUACCUAUUUUUGCUUUGACCAGAGAAAAGCCACAGUCACUUUGGUGUAUAUGACAUCAUCUAAGAAAAAUAGCACCUGCUUUGAUAAGUCCUUAUAUGAUAUAAGCUGUGCCAGUAGUUUGAAUGAGUGGCCUCUUAGGGUUCAACUUCAUGAGCUUCUUAAGAUUCUUUGGGUCCUUGGACUUAGUCGUAAUGGACUUAAGAGUUUCAGUUUGUUAUGUAUGAGCUGGUAAACACUUUACCUACAUGAUCUCAUUUAAUUCCCACCAGCAUCCCUUUAUUGUUGUUGGUAUAUUCCAGUUUUCACUAUGAUUGAGAGUAGGUUUAGGGCCUUACCCUCCCUGCUAAUAUCCAUGAAGGUUGGUCCUAAGCCCCAUCUCAGUGCAAUAUUUGGCUAAUGGAAUUUCCAUUCCAGGUUUAGAUUUUCAUUCUCUACAAACUAAAGAAUUAUUCUGAAUUGUGAUAAAUCAGUAUAUACUCUCAAGUGAAAUAUUUCAUCCACCAAUUUUUUUUUUUAUAUUUCUUCAUGUGGAUUCAUAAGAAUUUGGAUAGAAUUCCUAAAUGCUAUGCUCCAAGUAGGCUAUAAGCACAGCAGCAUAAUGAUGGCCUUUAUUUCUUGAUACUUUAGGACUUGGGUCACUUGCUUCUUGGUCACCAUGUUUCUUUCCCCCCAACAUUGUCUCUGUGACAUAGUGUGACAGAGGCACAGAGGCACUGGCCAUGGGGAGGUGGGCUGUCAGAUGAGCCUAAAUUCCAACUAGAUAUGGGCAGGGAGAACUGAGUGUCUAGUCUAGGUUAUGCUCCUUGGAAUUCCUGGGAGUGUGGAAGGAAGAAAUGAGAUUGACCUCAAGGAAGGGAUAUUUGUUGUGUACCAGAAUUUUCCGUUUCCUUCUUCAGAGAGUUGACUCUUUGCUUACAUAGUAUUUUUGUCUUCUACCAACUUGUAUAAAGAGUUUGAGACAGCUGGCAAGAAAAGGUUCACAAAUGUAUGUACAUAGAUAUAUAUCAAUGUAAACCCAUACAUUGUGUUUUACUUCCCUUGUUUUUGUAAUACCCAGUCCACUAUGAGGCUGGGUAUAGUAUGACCUACGAGUAGAGACAAAACUCUUGCAGAAAGCCUCUUUGAACUGCUUCAGAAUUUAGGGCAUGAGAUCUAACGGACUUAACCUAACUAGGGAGCUUCUGAGAGCAACAGUUACCCACUGGUCCUUAUGGCUACCAAGGAAAAACACUGACAGAGCUCCCCUGGAGCUCUGCUUCUUCUGGGUUGUGCCCGCAGCAUGUAGAAGUUUCCAGGCCAGGAUAGAGCCCUUCAUUUUGAUCUUAGGUCUGCUUCCCAAGUAACCUGCCAGGCUGUGUUAGUCAUAAAAGGCUCUCACCUGGAGAGAGCCAGAUUAUUGAAACUGGUGAUUUUCCAAUCAAAUGACGUGAGUCUGCUAAAAAACUAUAACUUGGGUUUUUUUCACAAUUGACAUUUCAUUGGUUUUUUUUUCCUUGUCAAGUAAUGAUGGCAGAUGAGUGACUUUACUUAAGACCAGACGCAGAAGCAACCAGAA
rnacentral:lncRNA from 1 species